CCUACGGGAGGCAGCAGUGGGGAAUUUUGCGCAAUGGGGGCAACCCUGACGCAGCAACGCCGCGUGAGUGAUGAAGGCCUUCGGGUCGUAAAGCUCUGUCAGAGGGGAAGAAAUGCAGGUGGUGAACAACCAUUCUGUUUGACGGUACCCUCAAAGGAAGCACCGGCUAACUCCGUGCCAGCAGCCGCGGUAAUACGGAGGGUGCGAGCGUUGUUCGGAAUUAUUGGGCGUAAAGCGCGUGUAGGCGGUUUGUUAAGUCUGAGGUGAAAGCCCCGGGCUCAACCGGGGAAGUGCAUUGGAUACUGGCAGACUUGAGUACGGGAGAGGAGAGUGGAAUUCCCAGUGUAGGAGGAAAAUGCGUAGAUAUUGGGAGGAACACCGGUGGCGAGGGCGGCUCUCUGGACUAAUACUGACACUGAUCCGCGAAAGCGUGGGGAGCAAACAGGAUUAGAUACCCCUGUAGU
rnacentral:rRNA from 1 species